CCCUGAUCUCAAUCCAAUUGAAAACGUGUUUGCAGAGCUAAAAAGGCUUACAAGAACAAGGUGACCUACACACUUGACUCGGUUACACCUGUUUUGUCAGUGGUAAAACUCCAGCUUCUUUAGUGUAAGAAGCUUGUGCAAAGAUACAAAAACAUUUGAAAAUAUACAGUACAGAAAACCCCCAUAAAGAAAUGAUUUAUGUUGUUGUUCUGAUAAUUAGCAAAAAUAAAUACUUUUGGUAAUCCUACCAACUCUCCUGGUUUUCAGAUUUUUGCGCCUUAGAGAUUAUUGACUGUAGUUUCUGUCUCUGUCUCUAUGCAUGUUUCACAAAAACCCUGUAAGGAGAGGACAGUGCUGAAUGGUAAUCUCACCAUCAGCGCUGACCGUGAUCUGGCAGCUCUGUCCGGCCUGACAGUCAAAGAGGCUGUUUCUGCUCAACUUAUUCUCAAACCUGAGGUGAAGAUUCUUGCAUCUCUUCUUGACUUAUAAAGAAAAUCUUGUUGGUUAGUUUUGCAAUUGUGACAUUAUCUUUCAAUUAUCACAUGAUGGAUUGGACAGUGCUCAGUAGGAGCUUGGGGUAUUGCCUCAUAGCAAUUAAAUUUCACACAGAUGGACUCUGUUUACCAAUUAUAUGACUGCUGAAUCCAAGUGGCUGCACUGAAAUUUAUAUAGGUGUAUGUCUGUAACCCAAUCCAAAAUAAGGGCAUUUUGUAUUGAGUUAAGUUCAUGGAAGGAAUAAUAAGUUAGAAUGUGUUAAGCAUGUUUGCUUAAAUAUGUUAAAAUUGUUAUAAAUAAGUGUUAACAAAAAGAAAUGUAUUUAAAACCGUUUUAUAGGAAAGUAAUCUUCACAAUAUUUUAUUUUGAAGGGCUUAAGUUUGUAAGAGGAAGUGGGGUAGAACAAAGCAACUUCACUGGGCCGUGGUUGGCUGAGGGUCGAGGAGAGACCGGAAGUAAGAAAAAA